GAAAAGAACUUUGAAAAGAGAGUUAAAUAGUACGUGAAAUUGUUGAAAGGGAAACGAUUGAAGCCAGUCGUACUGACGGAAAAUCAACUUCUCGAGUGCUUGUCGUGGGUGAUGUUGAGCUUCACGGCCUUCGUUGCUUGCGUUAUGGUGCUUUUGAGGUGUACUUUUCCGUAUGGUAGGUCAACAUCGAUUUUGAUCGUCAUAAAAUGAUCGGAGGAAUGUGGCUCUGAUCUUGUAUUGGAGUGUUAUAGCCUUUGGUAGAUGUGACGAUUGGGAUCGAGGAUUGCAACGAAUACCCUUUGGGCUAUCCGUCUGACCUCUGAAAGUCGCUCUGGUGUUGAAAGCGUGCUUAUGACAUCUUAGUUGGCUGUCAAAAGGUUAGAACGCGAUUACAUUCGUU
rnacentral:rRNA from 1 species